CAUUAUUAUUGUAAUACGUGAUCACUCUAUCACUCGCGUAGUGAAACUCGAACAAGUAACAUCGCGCGCCGCACUUCGUAUACGUUUCCGUAUUAUACAUCUCUCGCACGUAAUUAUUUCUCACAGUAUAUACUUAAUCUUCGAGAUGCGUAAUCGACAAGUACUACGAGGUGAAAAAAUACGAUUAUUAGCACAUAUUUUUCUAGUUCGAAAAUAUCAUUUUCCAAUGAUUAUUUGUUGGAUUGAAAAAUAUGACACGGAUGAAUAAUUGCUUACGCAAUUGAUUAUAUUAUAAACAAUGAACGCGCGCGCGACAAAUGUGGUGGCGAUGACAAAUUGAUUCAAGUAACAAAAAGACACGAUACAUCGAUCGUUUAUUAAUAAUACGUAUGUUUUCGUAUCGUGAAUUAUUAAUGAUAAUCCAUCUGUGCGCGUUUGAUUAAAUCGCAGAUUCGUGCGAUCGCGAGUUUCGCAUUGUUCUAUUCACGUCGCAAUAUAAUAAAGUGCGUGCCGCGUGUGAUUAAAGCGUCGCGAUUACUGUGCAAAGCGAUCGUCGUAUUUUCGUUGAUAAAUAAUGCACGCGCGAUCGUAAUUAAUUGUGCUUUCGCAAGUGAGUGCUAUAAAGAGGCAGCAAAGAGUGAACAAAGGAGAGGAGGAGGAGGUCCAGGGUGGCAUCUGGCAACGGCGGAACAAUCGUGAGAUCAACGUUGCGUGCUACAAUUCCGCCGCUGCGCGUCGUAUCGGUUUGCCUUUGACUCCCACGCUGAAAAUGCAGAAAAAUUAAUGCGACUCGAUGCAUUCGCGUUGAGAAAGUUCACGACGACGUUAUAGUCUUCGCGGCUUCGUGACAACGCGUCGAGUUGCGAAAUAAAGAAAUACUGUUGGAGGGUAUAAGCACGAUCGAGAAAGACUUCACGACAACAUAAAGAGAACUGCGAAAUAUAAGCGGAACUAUUUCCUUAAUUAUGCGACGAGACCAUCAGUGACAAACUCGCGACGCUUGAAACUACCGCGAAAUAAGCCAUCUGUGUCGCGAAAAAUUCAUAAAAUUGUUUUUCGAGUGGAAAAACGUGGAUUCUGUGUGAGAACGUGUUAUAAAAUUGGAUGAAAUUUUAAUUUAUCCGUUUUAAUAAACUGAAAUAAUUAAUUACGAAGAGGUUUAUAGACAUAGCGCCGAUCAAUUUAUUAUUUGUGUUAUUUUUUUAAAUAUUUUUUAUUGAAGAAUAUUAUUUAUCUAAGCAAUAAAAUAUUUUGUACCUCCCAGUUUUUGUUAAUAAAAAUUGAAUUAUUAAAUAAAAUUUUAAUUUAUUCGUUUUAAUAACCUGAAAUAAUUAAUUACGGAGAGGUUUAUAGACAUAGCGCCGAUCAAUUUAUUAUUUGUGUUGUUUUUUUAAAUCUUUUUUAUCGAAGAAUAUUAUUUAUUUGAGCAAUAAAAUAUUUUGUACCUUCCAGUUUUUGUUAAUAAAAAUUGAAUUAUUAAAUAAAAUUUUAAUUUAUUCGUUUUAAUAAACUGAAAUAAUUAAUUACGAAGAAAUUUAUAGACAUAGCGCCGAUCAAUUUAUUAUUUGUUAUUUUUUUAAAUCUUUUUUAUUGAAGAAUAUUAUUUAUCUAAGCAAUAAAAUAUUUUGUACCUCCCAAUUUUUGUUAAUGAAAAUUGAAUUAAACAAUCUAAUAAUUCAUCGUAGCUAAAUUUAAUAAAAUCGUUAUGUAAUGUAAUCGUACAUGUAAUGAAAUCGUACAUGUAAUGAUUCGAUUAUCACAAAUUGUUCAGAUACGAAAGAAUGCUUCUAUCGACUUUCUCUAUACAUAUACAAAUCAAAUUUAUUUGACUAUUGCUUUUAUCUGCACGUUGUAAAUUCCACAAUACAUUGCGCUGAAAUACUGUAACGUGACGUUUGCAGUUUUCUACAAACGUUACAGUAUUUAUAUAUACAAAACUUUAUUACGUAUUUUUUUUUACUACAUAUUUUCUACGUAUAAAAUUGAUCGAUAUAAACAUGCGACAGAGAGCACAUUUCAAACAAUUUUCAAAAUACUCUCAAAUUCAUAUGAAAUUUUGUCAUGUUAACAUUAUAAGAUUAGCUUGAAAGUGAUUGAACAUUUACUUAUUUACAGCAUGAUUGAUCAAAUUUGUUUUAUAAAUUCUCUUUAAUUAAUUUUCAAUAAUCCUUAACUUCGCUAUCGACUCUUUCUCUUAAUUUUCCUGAGAAAGAGAUUGACCUGAAAGAAACAUUUACCACUACUUACAUUUCGAUAUAAACACACGCAUGUAAUAUGUCACGUAUCCUCAAAAAAUCUUCAUAAAUAAAUUUUUACUAAUUGUAAAAUGUAAAAUAUGAUAGUGAUAAAAAUGUGUCAGACGCCGCAAUCGGCCAUACAUAGAGAAUCGUCUCUCCGUCUCUCUCUCUCUCUCUCUCUCUCUCUCUCUCUCUCUCUCUCUCUCUCUCUCUCUCAUUCAUCUCAACAUCCGAGGAGUACGAAGAAACCACCAUUAGAAAGCCAUCCUCGUUGAUACACGGAUCCCUUUAAAAAGGUCCCUU